AUUUAGAGGAAGGAGAAGUCGUAACAAGGUUUCCGUAGGUGAACCUGCGGAAGGAUCAUUGUCGAUGCCUAAACAUCAAACGACCCGCGAACGCGUUUACAAACCUUCCGUGCCGGGGGACCUCCUCCCAUCGAGCGAGCGAGCAAGCGAGGACUCCCAUGUCGACCCUCUGAACGUCGUCCACAAAGACGAUGCUCUCGACGCGACCCCAGGUCAGGCGGGAUUACCCUGC
rnacentral:misc_RNA from 1 species